GGGAAAUGAUUUGAAUGUAGGGCUGGGUCAGGAGAUUGAAAAGAUUUAAGAGAGCAGAGAGACGGGUCUGAAGCAGACAUCUUUGUGCUUAAGGAACGAGAGCUCCUCUGCGCUCCCAUCAUGCUCUGGGCCUGCCUAUUCCUCACCUAUUUCUCAGGAUCUUUGGCCCAGUAUGUGUUGACGCAGCCCCCAUCAGUGUCCGUGUCUCCGGGACGAGAUGCCCAAAUCACUUGUUCUGGGAACAACAUUGGGAGCAAAUAUGUGCAUUGGUACCAGCAGAAACCAAGCCAGGCCCCUGUACUGAUAAUAUACGAAGACAGUAAGAGACCCACUGGGAUCUCGGACCGAGUCUCUGGCACCAACUCUGGCAACACAGCCAGACUGAGCAUUGCCAGAGCCCUAGCAGAGGAUGAGGCCGAUUAUUACUGCCAAGUGUGGGACAGCAACACAGCUCACAGUGACACAGGCAGAUGGGGAAGUGCGACAAAAACCUCUUGCUGAAAAAGGCAGCUGCUAUCAUACUCUGUCUUCAGAGGAGAGACGUUCCAGUGGAAUUGAAUUUUCAUGAAAAGAGGCUUAUUCUCACCCCCAAACCUCCACGUCUCCCAGAGUUACAGUUGUUGUUUCUCUAGCUCUCUCCCUCGUUUAAUGAGGGGAGGCAAAUGAAGGGGCUUCACUGAGGUAGAGAAUUUAGCAUAGACUACAACAGUGCAUUGGACAUAGACAGCAGGUCCUUGCUGGGGCACAGAGAGGCUUAUUUUGUCAUUAUUGAGAGCAUUCUCACCCUUCUCUUUGGUCAAAGAGGAUCCCAGAGUGGCUUACAUACAAGAAAUUGAAACCAGACACUUUGGAAAAUGAGCGAGGUCCCAACCAAAGAAGAAUGGCAACUUAAGCUGAUGGAAUAUGCUCAGUUUGUGGACUUAACAUAUAGAAUAAGAGAACAAGAAGAACAUACAUUUAGAGAAGACUGGAAAAUGUUUAUUGAAUAUAUGGAGGAAAAUUGUAUGCAUUUGAGAAUGUUGUCAGCAUUGAGAUAAAUUAAACAUUGUAAAUAAGCUUUGAUAGAUGUAAUAUUGGAAUACUGAAUGGUUUUAUUUAACUAAAAUAUGGAGGGAUUUAUGAUAUGCAAAAUGAACCAUGGAAAGAGAAGAAGGGAAGUCAUUGAUAUUUUAAGAAUAUUUAAAUGAGUAUUCUAAAUUGUAAAACAG